rnacentral:rRNA from 1 species
AUACCAGCUGGCUGCAACUGUUUAUUAAAAACACAGCACUGUGCAAACACGAAAGUGGACGUAUACGGUGUGACGCCUGCCCGGUGCCGGAAGGUUAAUUGAUGGGGUCAGCGCAAGCGAAGCUCCUGAUCGAAGCCCCGGUAAACGGCGGCCGUAACUAUAACGGUCCUAAGGUAGCGAAAUUCCUUGUCGGGUAAGUUCCGACCUGCACGAAUGGCGUAAUGAUGGCCAGGCUGUCUCCACCCGGGACUCAGUGAAAUUGAACUCGCUGUGAAGAUGCAGUGUACCCGCGGCAAGACGGAAAGACCCCGUGAACCUUUACUAUAGCUUGACACUGAACACUGGUCCUUGAUGUGCAGGAUAGGUGGGAGGCUUUGAAGUGUGGACGCCAGUCUGCAUGGAGCCAUCCUUGAAAUACCACCCUUUAAUGGCUGGUGUUCUAACGUGGACCCGUAAUCCGGGUUGCGGACAGUGUCUGGUGGGUAGUUUGACUGGGGCGGUCUCCUCCUAAAGAGUAACGGAGGAGCACGAAGGUUGGCUAAUCCUGGUCGGACAUCAGGAGGUUAGUGCAAUGGCAUAAGCCAGCUUGACUGCGAGCGUGACGGCGCGAGCAGGUGCGAAAGCAGGUCAUAGUGAUCCGGUGGUUCUGAAUGGAAGGGCCAUCGCUCAACGGAUAAAAGGUACUCCGGGGAUAACAGGCUGAUACCGCCCAAGAGUUCAUAUCGACGGCGGUGUUUGGCACCUCGAUGUCGGCUCAUCACAUCCUGGGGCUGAAGUAGGUCCCAAGGGUAUGGCUGUUCGCCAUUUAAAGUGGUACGCGAGCUGGGUUUAGAACGUCGUGAGACAGUUCGGUCCCUAUCUGCCGUGGGCGCUGGAAGAUUGAGGGGGGCUGCUCCUAGUACGAGAGGACCGGAGUGGACGCAUCACUGGUGUUCGGGUUGUCAUGCCAAUGGCACUGCCCGGUAGCUACAUGCGGAAGAGAUAAGUGCUGAAAGCAUCUAAGCACGAAACUUGCCCCGAGAUGAAUCUUCCCUGAGCCUUUAAGGCUCCUGAAGGAACGUUGAAGACGACGACGUUGAUAGGCCGGGUGUGUAAGCGCAGCGAUGCGUUGAGCUAACCGGUACUAAUGAACCGUGAGGCUUAACCUUACAACGCCGAAG